GAUUUUCAAACUCCUUUAUUUUGUAUUAUGGAUUCUAAACACUCUUUAUCAUAUGCUACUUACACUUCUGUGAUGGAUGAGAGAAUGCAACAGUUACUCCAAAAGUAUAAAGGGAUUUUUAUAGAGCCUCAAAAACUACCUCCUUUUAGGAAUCACAAUCAUGCUAUUCCCUUGCAGCAUAAUGCUCAGCCUGUUAAUAUUAGGC
rnacentral:misc_RNA from 1 species